GCACUGCUCAGUAACACGUGGACAACCUGCCCUGAGGACUGGAAUAAUCCCGGGAAACUGGGGGUAAUUCCAGAUAUGUCAGAACUCCUGGAAUGGGUUCUGGCAGAAAGGCUCCGGCGCCUCAGGAUGGGUCUGCGGCCUAUCAGGGUAGUAGUGGGUGUAACGUACCUACUAGCCUACGACGGGUACGGGUUGUGAGAGCAAGAGCCCGGAGAUGGAUUCUGAGACAUGAAUCCAGGCCCUACGGGGUGCAGCAGGCGCGAAAACUUUACAAUGCGGGCAACCGCGAUAAGGGGACCUCGAGUGCUGGGUUACAAACCUGGCUGUUGGGCUGCCUAAAAAGCAGUCUAUAGCAAGGGCCGGGCAAGACCGGUGCCAGCCGCCGCGGUAACACCGGCGGCUCGAGUGGUAACCGCUAUUAUUGGGUCUAAAGGGUCUGUAGCCGGCCGACUAAGUCUCUUGGGAAAUCUGGCAUCUCAAGUGUCAGGCUGCCAGGGGAUACUGGUCGGCUUGGGACCGGGAGAGGUGAGAGGUACCUCGGGGGUAGGGGUGAAAUCUUGUAAUCCUCGAGGGACCACCAGUGGCGAAGGCGUCUCACCA
rnacentral:rRNA from 1 species